rnacentral:rRNA from 1 species
CCUGCCCAGAAGCGGGGGACAACAUUUGGAAACAGAUGCUAAUACCGCAUAACAACGUUGUUCGCAUGAACAACGCUAAAAAGAUGGCUUCUCGCUAUCACUUCUGGAUGGACCUGCGGUGCAUUAGCUUGUUGGUGGGGUAAYGGCCUACCAAGGCGAUGAUGCAUAGCCGAGUUGAGAGACUGAUCGGCCACAAUGGGACUGAGACACGGCCCAUACUCCUACGGGAGGCAGCAGUAGGGAAUCUUCCACAAUGGGCGCAAGCCUGAUGGAGCAACACCGCGUGAGUGAAGAAGGGUUUCGGCUCGUAAAGCUCUGUUGUUAAAGAAGAACACGUAUGAGAGUAACUGUUCAUACGUUGACGGUAUUUAACCAGAAAGUCACGGCUAACUACGUGCCAGCAGCCGCGGUAAUACGUAGGUGGCAAGCGUUAUCCGGAUUUAUUGGGCGUAAAGAGAGUGCAGGCGGUUUUCUAAGUCUGAUGUGAAAGCCUUCGGCUUAACCGGAGAAGUGCAUCGGAAACUGGAUAACUUGAGUGCAGAAGAGGGUAGUGGAACUCCAUGUGUAGCGGUGGAAUGCGUAGAUAUAUGGAAGAACACCAGUGGCGAAGGCGGCUACCUGGUCUGCAACUGACGCUGAGACUCGAAAGCAUGGGUAGCGAACAGGAUUAGAUACCCUGGUAGUCCAUGCCGUAAACGAUGAGUGCUAGGUGUUGGAGGGUUUCCGCCCUUCAGUGCCGGAGCUAACGCAUUAAGCACUCCGCCUGGGGAGUACGACCGCAAGGUUGAAACUCAAAGGAAUUGACGGGGGCCCGCACAAGCGGUGGAGCAUGUGGUUUAAUUCGAAGCUACGCGAAGAACCUUACCAGGUCUUGACAUCUUGCGCCAACCCUAGAGAUAGGGCGUUUCCUUCGGGAACGC